GUGCUCGCUUCUGCAGCACGUAUACUAAAACUGGAACAACACAGAGAAAAUUAACAUGGUCCUUGCACAAGGAUGACAUGCAAAUUCGUGAAGCAUUCCUUACUUUU